GACAACUCAAUCGGAACGUGCCUUGCAACA
rnacentral:piRNA from 1 species